rnacentral:rRNA from 1 species
GAUUUCUGGUGUGAUCCGCUUGACCCGCCAUGUCUACAUGUGUGAGUGUCGAUGCAGAUCUGCCAUCACUUCUAGAUAAACGUCAUCCUCUUCAUUGAGCGUGUGACGAUUUUGUUUAGAUCUUUUACUUUGAAAAAAUUAGAGUGUUUCAAGCAGGCUUCUUGCUAUGAAUACAUUAGCAUGGAAUAAUAAUUUAGGACUUUUGUUCUAUUUUGUUGGUUUCUAGAAUGGAAGUAAUGAUUGAUAGGGAUAGUUGGGGGUGCUAGUAGUCAGUGGCCAAAGGUGAAAUUCUCGGAUUCACUGAAGACUAACUUAUGCGAAAGCAUU